AUGAACGCUGGCGGCGUGCUUAACACAUGCAAGUCGAACGGAAAGGCCCAAGCUUGCUUGGGUACUCGAGUGGCGAACGGGUGAGUAACACGUGGGUGAUCUGCCCUGCACUUCGGGAUAAGCCUGGGAAACUGGGUCUAAUACCGGAUAGGACCACUUCUUGGAUGUUGUGGUGGAAAGUUUUUUCGGUGUGGGAUGAGCUCGCGGCCUAUCAGCUUGUUGGUGGGGUAAUGGCCUACCAAGGCGUCGACGGGUAGCCGGCCUGAGAGGGUGUACGGCCACAUUGGGACUGAGAUACGGCCCAGACUCCUACGGGAGGCAGCAGUGGGGAAUAUUGCACAAUGGGCGCAAGCCUGAUGCAGCGACGCCGCGGGGGGGAUGACGGCCUUCGGGUUGUAAACUCCUUUCGCUAGGGACGAAGCGUUUUGUGACGGUACCUGGAGAAGAAGCACCGGCUAACUACGUG
rnacentral:rRNA from 1 species